UACGUAGGGACCGAGCGUUGUCCGGAAUUACUGGGCGUAAAGCGCGUGUAGGCGGAUGAGCAAGUCUGCUGUGAAAGCUCCUGGCUUAACCGGGAGUGGUCGGUGGAAACUGCUCGUCUGGAGGACGGUAGAGGUAGGUAGAAUUCCCGGUGUAGUGGUGAAAUGCGUAGAGAUCGGGAGGAAUACCUGUGGCGAAGGCGGCCUACUGGGCCGGACCUGACGCUGAGACGCGAAGGCGUGGGGAGCGAACGGG
rnacentral:rRNA from 1 species